UGUAGCCCCGCACCAGCUGGGCCUAGAGCUCUUUCCCCUUUGUUGGGUUGGGUGCCACUGUGUUGGGUUCCUCGGGGUUGAGGCUCCUGUUGAGUGGGGAAGUUUUUCCCCUUGUCCACUUUAGUUAAAGUUAGGGGCCUUAUUGCCCUGUUUAGAGUUAGUUGAGGCCGUAGUUUUUUCUCAUUUUCCUUGGAUUUUCUAUUGUGGUCGAGUAUGGAAAAUCUGUUUGAACUUCAGCAAGCCUUUGAAUAAACAGUCAGGAGGGACAUCAACUUAGUAGUGGAUGUCCUAGAUGUCAGGGAUUGUUCGGCUCUAACCCAACACGAGGAAUGGCAAUACUGUGUUAUAGGUCGUUUGUUUCCUAAGACCUUGUUUCAGUUCCAAGACGUGAAACGAGCUCUCGUGGCAGCAUGGAAAGUGGAUGAAACAGCCAUUGGAAAAAAGGUUCAAGGGACAGAGUCAACCCUUCAUAUGGAAUUGCAUGUGAUAGAAGCAGCUAUUUCUUUUUUUGGGGAAAGAGGCUUCUCAAUUUUGUCUACAUUUUCUGAUAGUUUAUCAUCUGUGAACUUAUUAAAUUAUGGGUCUGUAAAUGUUGGGAUGAAGUUGUGGCAUGUGGUAGAUCAAAUCCUUUUUUGUUCUA